rnacentral:rRNA from 1 species
GAACGGUAACAGGAAGCAGCUUGCUGCUUCGCUGACGAGUGGCGGACGGGUGAGUAAUGUCUGGGAAACUGCCUGAUGGAGGGGGAUAACUACUGGAAACGGUAGCUAAUACCGCAUAACGUCGCAAGACCAAAGAGGGGGACCUUCGGGCCUCUUGCCAUCGGAUGUGCCCAGAUGGGAUUAGCUAGUAUGUGGGGUAACGGCUCACCUAGGCGACGAUCCCUAGCUGGUCUGAGAGGAUGACCAGCCACACUGGAACUGAGACACGGUCCAGACUCCUACGGGAGGCAGCAGUGGGGAAUAUUGCACAAUGGGCGCAAGCCUGAUGCAGCCAUGCCGCGUGUAUGAAGAAGGCCUUCGGGUUGUAAAGUACUUUCAGCGGGGAGGAAGGCGACAGGGUUAAUAAGCCUGUCGAUUGACGUUACCCGCAGAAGAAGCACCGGCUAACUCCGUGCCAGCAGCCGCGGUAAUACGGAGGGUGCAAGCGUUAAUCGGAAUUACUGGGCGUAAAGCGCCCGCAGGCGGUCUGUCAAGUCGGAUGUGAAAUCCCCGGGCUCAACCUGGGAACUGCAUUCGGAACUGGCAGGCUAGAGUCUUGUAGAGGGGGGUAGAAUUCCAGGUGUAGCGGUGAAAUGCGUAGAGAUCUGGAGGAAUACCGGUGGCGAAGGC